rnacentral:rRNA from 1 species
UACAGAGGGGGCAAGCGUUGUUCGGAAUUACUGGGCGUAAAGGGCGCGUAGGUGGCCAACUAAGUCGGACGUGAAAUCCCUCAGCUUAACUGGGGAACUGCGUCCGAUACUGGAUGGCUUGAGUUUGGGAGAGGGAUGCGGAAUUCCAGGUGUAGCGGUGAAAUGCGUAGAUAUCUGGAGGAACACCGGUGGCGAAGGCGGCAUCCUGGACCAACACUGACGCUGAGGAGCGAAAGCGUGGGGAGCGAACAGG